UACGUAGGGUGCGAGCGUUGUCCGGAUUUAUUGGGCGUAAAGAGCUCGUAGGCGGUUUGUCGCGUCGGAUGUGAAAACCCAGGGCUCAACCCUGGGCCUGCAUUCGAUACGGGCAGACUAGAGUUCGGUAGGGGAGACUGGAAUUCCUGGUGUAGCGGUGAAAUGCGCAGAUAUCAGGAGGAACACCGGUGGCGAAGGCGGGUCUCUGGGCCGAUACUGACGCUGAGGAGCGAAAGCGUGGGGAGCGAACAG
rnacentral:rRNA from 1 species